rnacentral:rRNA from 1 species
GAGGAGCUUGCUCCUUUGACGUUAGCGGCGGACGGGUGAGUAACACGUAGGUAACCUACCUAUAAGACUGGGAUAACUUCGGGAAACCGGAGCUAAUACCGGAUAAUAUUUCGAACCGCAUGGUUCGAUAGUGAAAGAUGGCUUUGCUAUCACUUAUAGAUGGACCUGCGCCGUAUUAGCUAGUUGGUAAGGUAACGGCUUACCAAGGCAACGAUACGUAGCCGACCUGAGAGGGUGAUCGGCCACACUGGAACUGAGACACGGUCCAGACUCCUACGGGAGGCAGCAGUAGGGAAUCUUCCGCAAUGGGCGAAAGCCUGACGGAGCAACGCCGCGUGAGUGAUGAAGGUCUUCGGAUCGUAAAACUCUGUUAUUAGGGAAGAA